AAUCAAACAAUGAUUGAAUGAUACAUGUGCAUUGCCUGCAGAUUCAACUUAAAAUACAUUUUUUUCCAUACAAUACUUGAAACUUUGCUGGAAGGAACUUGCUACUUACAUCUACUCCAGUGCUAAACUGGUCGGUGGUGGCUCGUGUAUAGGCAUUGCGGAACUGCAGCACCCCUUAUUUUCACUCGAUAUUCUCGAUAACAUUCAAUAUAAUGAGUCCUAUUUUCUUUAAUUCCUUCUUUAUACUUGUACAUUAUAUAAUACUUAAGCUUAAUGUCAGUAGCCAUCCCCCUCGUUUAUCUUUGUAUAAAACUGUGCGCUUCACAGUUCCAGCGACGCGGUGUUUGGCUGUCGUGCGAAUGUUCAUAUGUCCGAAAUAUGAAGCUUCACGCUAGGGAGAGACAGCUCUGUCGUUCACGCAGUGCUGACCCCGAUGUGCUGGUGAAAGCAGUCAUAGAUCGUUUUGGUUACGAUUUGAAAACAUGUUCUCUGGUACAUUAUUAUGAAAAUAACAACCGCCAGGAGUCGUCAGGUCGAAUCGAGUGUUUUUGCCGACCUAUCUAACCUGCUAAGAACGCUUCGAAUUCGUUCUACUGCUUAUCACCUCAUAUCUAACGGAAUUAUAGAACGUUUUCAACAACAGCUUAAAGUGGCUUUACUAGCAUUUUCCAAUUCGGAUGGUGUAUUACUAGGUUUACGUAUCACUUUUAAGAAAGACCUAGGUUACUCCCAACAGAAUUACUGUAUGGUUCGGUACUUAAACUAUCUGAUCAAACGAUAUUGGCUACAAGCUACUCAACAAGAUGAUCCUACCAACUAUAAUGAUCAACUAGGAAAUUACAUGGUGGCGUUACCUGCGUUAAUAAUGAGAUCGCAGUCGAUUAGCUUUUGUUCCAACCAAUAUCAACACCUGAACUCACAUAUUUGAAUGCAACGAUGCAGUUAAGCACCUUUGCAAGCAGUUUAUUGACCCGUAUAGUGUGUUAAAAAAGCUAAACCAUCGUAUAUGGUUUUGAGCAUUCAGGGGAGACAGGAGAUCGACUUAAAUAGGCUUUCGUCAAGUCUAUUCCCUUACCACAACACUCUCCUUUCUCUUCUGCCACAGCAAGGCACUCCACACAUAAACAUAAUGCAUUAUCCAUCAACAAUGCAUUUCAUAUUGACAGGGUAAGCAAAAGUGGAAGAAGAGUACAUUGGCCGGUUAGGUACAUCUGCACGUAUUUUCAUUAACAUACAAAUACACACUCACGAAAGAAGGUUUUCUUUUUAUAGUUCCCAAGAAAGAAGCAAAAGACCUGCAGAACUUUGCAUCAUCAACUUUUCAGAGAGAAGACAGAAGUUGUUCCUAUAUUCGUUGGGGCUUUAGGUAUGGAGAAAAAAUAUAUAGACAAUUACAUAACCCGCUCAACUUUAUUCCUUCAUAACUUUCUGAAAAAUGAUAAUAUUAUUCUAAUGAAGCUUUCUACAAAUACCUUUCAGAUAGUGCAGAUGACGAUUAUAUUGAAUUUAA